UCAAUGCUCGUAAGAGUGAACUACCUAACUGAAAUCUUAAAAUCAUUGUAACAAUGGUUCUUGAGAUAACGUAAGGGAUAAAAAUGAUAGUACCUUACUAUAAGUGUUGUCCAACAAUACUGGUGCCAGAAGACUCGGUAACGCCAGAAACGCAAACGUUAGUCGUCCUAAUCAGGCGUAAAGGGUAAGUAGGCUGCUUUGAAAGUUGUUAGAUAGAAAGCUUUUUAAAAAAAUAAUAAAAAUAAAAAUAUAAUAUAAAUAACCCAACUAAAGUUGGGAAAAUGAAAAUAAAAAUUUUUUAAAGUAAAUAAUAAUGAAUUAAAGCUAGAAUCAAAUAGGGGAUAAGCCAAAUAAUAUUUAGAGUAAGGGUAAUAUCUGUAGAUACUAAAUGGAAUACUAAGGUGAAAACUUUUAUCUACUAAUGAUUGACGCUGAGAAACGAAGGUGAGAAUAGAAAACAGGAUUAGAGACCCAGAUAUCUCUCACUGUCAACGAUGAAUGGUAGUUGUUAGUUCAACUUAACUA
rnacentral:rRNA from 1 species